AUCAUUCCCUUCGGGGGAUGGUUAGCGGCGGACGGGUGAGUAACACGUAGGCAACCUGCCUGUAAGACCGGGAUAACUAUCGGAAACGAUAGCUAAGACCGGAUAGCUGGUCUUCUCGCAUGAGGAGAUCAUGAAACACGGGGCAACCUGUGGCUUACGGAUGGGCCUGCGGCGCAUUAGCUAGUUGGUGAGGUAACGGCUCACCAAGGCGACGAUGCGUAGCCGACCUGAGAGGGUGAACGGCCACACUGGGACUGAGACACGGCCCAGACUCCUACGGGAGGCAGCAGUAGGGAAUCUUCCGCAAUGGACGCAAGUCUGACGGAGCAACGCCGCGUGAGUGAUGAAGGUUUUCGGAUCGUAAAGCUCUGUUGCCCUAGACGAACAGCAGAGGGAGUAACUGCCCUUUGUGUGACGGUAUAGGAGAAGAAAGCCCCGGCUAACUACGUGCCAGCAGCCGCGGUAAUACGUAGGGGGCAAGCCGUUGUCCGGAAUUAUUGGGCCGUAAAAGCGCGCGCAGGCGGUUCAUUAAGUUUGGUGGUUAAGCCCGGGGCU
rnacentral:rRNA from 1 species